AGUGAACGCUGGCGGUAGGCCUAACACAUGCAAGUCGAACGGCAGCACAGUAAGAGCUUGCUCUUACGGGUGGCGAGUGGCGGACGGGUGAGGAAUACAUCGGAAUCUACUUUUUCGUGGGGGAUAACGUAGGGAAACUUACGCUAAUACCGCAUACGACCUACGGGUGAAAGCAGGGGAUCUUCGGACCUUGCGCGACUGAAUGAGCCGAUGUCGGAUUAGCUAGUUGGCGGGGUAAAGGCCCACCAAGGCGACGAUCCGUAGCUGGUCUGAGAGGAUGAUCAGCCACACUGGAACUGAGACACGGUCCAGACUCCUGCGGGAGGCAGCAGUGGGGAAUAUUGGACAAUGGGCGCAAGCCUGAUCCAGCCAUACCGCGUGGGUGAAGAAGGCCUUCGGGUUGUAAAGCCCUUUUGUUGGGAAAGAAAAGCAGCAGGUUAAUACCCCGCUGUUCUGACGGUACCCAAAGAAUAAGCACCGGCUAACUUCGUG
rnacentral:rRNA from 1 species